GUUGAACGCUGACAGAAUGCCUAACACAUGCAAGUCAACUGUGGCGUACGGGUUAGUAACGCGUAAAGAACUUGCCUCACAGUUAGGGACAACAUUUGGAAACGAAUUCUAUUACCUGAUACUGUGAGAGAGCUUUGCGUCCCAUUAGCUAGUUGGAGAGGUAACGGCUCACCAAGGAGUUGAUGGGUAGCCGGCCUGAGAGUGUGAUCGGCCACAAGGGGACAGAGACACGGCCCUUACUCAUACGGGAGGCAGCGGUGGGGAAUAUGUGACAAUGUGCCAAAGUCUGAUGCAGGAAUUCGGGGUGUACGAUGAAGCAUUCGGAAGGUAGAGUGCUUUCAGUUGGGAAGCAGUACCGACAGAAGAAGUGACGGCUAAAUACGUGCCAGCAGCCGCGGUAAUUC
rnacentral:rRNA from 1 species